UACGUAGGGGGCAAGCGUUGUCCGGAAUCAUUGGGCGUAAAGAGCGUGUAGGCGGCCAAACAGGUCCGUUGUGAAAACUGGAGGCUCAACCUCCAGACGUCGACGGAAACCGUAUGGCUAGAGUCCGGAAGAGGAGAGUGGAAUUCCUGGUGUAGCGGUGAAAUGCGCAGAUAUCAGGAAGAACACCAAUGGCGAAGGCAGCUCUCUGGGACGGUACUGACGCUGAGACGCGAAAGCGUGGGGAGCGAACAGG
rnacentral:rRNA from 1 species